rnacentral:tRNA from 1 species
GCCUGGGUGACUCAGUUGGUUAAGCAUCUGAUUUCAGCUCAGGUCAUGAUCUCAUGGUUUGUGAGUUCAAGCCUCACAUCAGGCG